UACGGGGGGGGCAAGCGUUGUUCGGAAUUACUGGGCGUAAAGGGCUCGUAGGUGGCCAACUAAGUCAGACGUGAAAUCCCUCGGCUUAACCGGGGAACUGCGUCUGAUACUGGAUGGCUUGAGUGUGGGAGAGGGAUGCGGAAUUCCAGGUGUAGCGGUGAAAUGCGUAGAUAUCUGGAGGAACACCGGUGGCGAAGGCGGGUCUCUGGGCCGAUACUGACGCUGAGGAGCGAAAGCGUGGGGAGCGAACAGG
rnacentral:rRNA from 1 species